rnacentral:lncRNA from 1 species
UGAACUUUGCAAUUUCCUCCACCAGAGUGAAUGAUAAUUUGUGUUAGGGUUGUACGUAAAUCAUCAUUUUCUGCUGUAGUGUCACACUUAUCUUGGGUUGUGGAUAAAGAGGCAUACAUUUUGGCAUUUUAAUUUAGUCCAAAGGUGAAGAUGAUUUUUAGAAUGAGGAGAGACAAAUUACCAGGCUGAUAACUAAUUAGCGUCAAAAUAACUUGAGUAAGCGUCGUAGUUACAUGAAAAGUAAUUACUCUUUAUAAUUUGGACAAACUAUUUGUGUCAUCAACUGGUGUCUUAAUUUUGCAUCUAAUUCUUGCAUUGAUGCGUAUCUUUGCGUCUAAACUAGGUAAUUGAUGUGUAUUGUAGCUUAAGUGACGUUUAGGAUUAAUACUUUGCACCCCUUUCAUUUAGAGUCAGUAACAUUCUGAUCCAUACUUCUUAAAAUUAAAUGUUUAGGGUUUACCCUUAAGUAACAAAUUCAAUGUUAUUACCCUAGAGGCUUUUCUUUGUACUUAUUUAUCAAUCGACGUAUCAUUUUGUUGUAUGGAAUCAUAUUGAUAACAAAUAGAUUAACAUAAGUUAUAAACAGAGUUGAGUAACUACGUAUAUAUGUUCUAUUUGAUGUUCAUGUAAGCAAAAAGCAUAAAAAUUUGUCACUUUACCAUUCGUUACAUUAACAAUUUCGUUUUUUUAAGCCUGGUCAUUAACAAUUUCGUUGAUGUUCCAAAAAGUUAAAUUACUGUAUUCUUUGUGCUUUUUGCCUUUUUGGCAAAAGGGUACUCCUUAAAAUCUAACAACUUUCAUCAUGAAAAUGGAAAGUAUGUGAGAUCCACCUAUCUGAAGUGGGUUCAACAUAAGCAAAAACCUACUUUGGUAUCCACUGAUAAAUUAGUGUUUCACCAAGGCUGACCCCAUUGUUGUUUGCCUUUUGUGCUUAUUAUCGUUUUCAUUUAUUGUUUUGUCUUUGCAAAUCUUGGCAUAGUGCUCCCCACUUAUAUUAUUUUUAUUAUUAUCAAUAAAUUAGGUGGAGGAGGGUCGGGCUGGGGGUUUCUAGGAUUACUGGCCCUCACCCCUUUGGAAGAGGUAAAUGUCUUGCACGCAACUAUUGCCGAAUAACUAAUUUCGUCUAAUCUUUCUCCAUUAAAAAAAAAGGUAUAUUCAAAGUUACAUAUAAUUUUGAUGAGAAAUUAUCUAACGGGAAAUGAUUUAUUUACAACCUUUUUCACCUUUUUGGCUUUUUGACAACUUUAUUUUUUUAAUUUUCAAUUAUUAGAUUGAACAAAAUAAAAUAAAAUCAAGAGCCAUAAUUAAAAGAAAAUGUGCAUCAAUCACUCUCCUAUUUUAUUUAUGCACGUUAUAAAUUGCAUUCCAAAAUGAGUUUCUUCCAUUCUUCAUGAUAAGCUUUUGAAGAAGUGUGGGAAACUUGUUUUGAAGUGCAAAUGACAUUUUCCUCGGUUAUUUUUUCUUUGAUUUAAACCAUUAUUGAUGAGUUGAAUAGGAGUUAGGUUUCCCUUUAAAAAGGUCGUACUCAGUGCACAAGGCUCCCGCUUUACGUAGGGUCUGGGAGAGGUGAAUGUCGGCUAACCUUACCCCCAUUUAUGGAGAGGCUGCUCCCAAGUAGGUUUCCCUUUAGACUGAAAAAUAUAAAGGCAUGCCAAAAUCAUGUUACUCGACUUUCUUCAAAACUAACAUAGCAUCGGUUGACACGUGCUACAUUAUUUGCACAAAUUGUAUACAACUAGUGCUGCGACGAGAGCACUCUUAUGAGAUAUAUAAUUAACUUCAAAUUUACAAUAUCAAACUCCUUUUCUAAUCAAUUAACAAGUUAUGCAUCAAAGUAUCAUGUAUCCAAUUAGAACUGAGAAAUCAAUGGGGUGGUACAUGAUCCAGAUUUGAACUAGCUAGCUCGACACCCUCUAGCCCACCUAUAAGGCUAUAACCGUGUGAACCCGUCGUGGUGUUCAAGUAGUGAUCUUUUAGAUUUGAGGCCAGAACCCAGAAGAGAUAAAAAGGGAUUAUAAUCUUCUCUUACACGUGUGGUCCCAAACAAAAUUACCACCCUAAAAAGUUCAAACUAUCAAAGCCUUCUUAGCUCUCACGUGUAGGGUUCAAUGCACUUACUAACCAUAAUAAUGUAGGAUUUUCAUCAUUAGCCAUGCAGGAAAUUGGAAUUAUGUGAAAUCAUUAAAAACGACCUCAGAAAAAGUUGUUUUUAGUACGUACAGAAGCCACUGGAAUCUCACGUUACAACUAGUUCACCAAACAUAAACCACGAUUUUUUUAGUACGUACAGAUAUAAUCGUGGAUUCAGAAAAUUUAUUGGGGUUUUAGUAAGAAUAGCGGGCACAAUAUACAAAUUUGUUUGGACGUAAUAGCAUGCAAAUUGACAUUUUAUCGAGCCUUGAUAGGCCUGAGGUCAUUUGCUAAGUCAUAUUGUAGGCCUAAGGUCAUUUGCUAAGUCAUAUUGUAGGUAUGUUGGCAAAUGUCAACAACUUUCAAAAGAACAUGUCUACUAAUGUCAAUAGCUUUUGAGCGAGCAUGUCGACUAACGUCAAUAGCUAUUGAGCAAGCAUACCAACUGAUGUCAAUAGUUUUUGAGCGAGCAUGCUAAUUGAUACUAACAUAUACCAAAUGAGCAUAUUGGCAAGAGCCCAUAGCAAUGCAUACAAAGGCAUGAGGCUAGCAGCUAUCCUACCCAAUGUUUAUAGUGGCAAUUCGUCGAGUAAUCAGAAGGUAGAUUUUAAAGGUAUAUUAGAUUUUCAAAAGGACAACAACAAGCUUUUCCACGGAGAACUUCUGAGGUUUUUUUUGGGAACUUUAACAAAAAAUUAUUGGUACUGUUUAUUUUAACGAAAAAUCAUAUUUUUACACUAAAAAGUCAAUCAUAGUACUAUUUACUUUAGCCUUUAUUUUGUUUUAUCGUUAAAACUCAAAAUUUUCAAGCCAUUUUUAUUAGUUUUCUUUUUUGGGGGAGAGGGGGGGUCAGAUGACCCACCUUGUCCCAAGGUGGAUCCGCCCUUGUAGAAACACUACUUGUUUUACGCAUAUUUGAGUGUUAAGUUUAAUCCAAUGGUUUAAAUUUAGUGAUUGAAAAUUGUUGAAUCAAAUUCAACGACCAAUUAUGCGUUAGCUUAACGCACUGAGUGCCUUUAAAUAUUCAAAAAAAUUUGCAGAAACCAACCCAUGAUUAUAAAGAUAAAUUGGGAUAAAUCAUGCCAUUGCCAUCGAAUCACAUUGCAGGAGUCAGCAAUUUAAGUUUCACCAGGGGUGAUGCAAUGCAAUCAUCUUUCAUUUUUUUUAGGUGUUGGGUAAAAAUUAGGGGGCAUUUAACCCUAUACGGAGAGGGGACUGUAUACAUAAUGGUAAUUAUAGGCAAUGUGCAUGAUGAUGGGAGUUAAUGAAUGCCUCUGUGGCCAUGCAAAAUCUCUCGAGCACUGCCAUAACGCAUUUAUGAAAGCAAACAACCCUUAACCCCUUCAAAUCAUAAAACCCCGUUUUAUUUUCUUUUAUUUUUUUCCUCCUCUCUGCAAUUUUUCUUCUUGCUUUGGUAUUGUAGGGUGGCUCAAAUUCUGCUGCAGAAAGUAAGAAGGUUAUUUAAGAAGGAUUUUUUUUUAGUACAUUGAUAUUUUUAUAUUAGGAAGACGAUGAGUUCGGAUAAGCCACACAAUAAACCGUCUAAUUUGGUAUCGAAUUCGCCAUUCACGGAAUUCAAACCUAAAACCUUUCACUUCUAAAUAAAAAUAAAUAUCACCAGAUCGUAGUACUGAAUGAUUCUUGUUUGACGGGGAAGGAAGGACGGGGGCGUGGGGAAGAGGAACCAUUAUUGUUGGAGAUAGCCAUCAUUGGUUGUUCCAGAGCCGGAUUUAUAACGCUUUAGUUUGUCAAUUUUGAGUCCACUCUUGCCAGGGAUUCUGCAGAGAUACCACCCUUUGGCCCCUGUGUUUUUGUUGACUGGGUCAUUUGUUUGUUUGAAGAGAAAUGUUUGGAGAACUCUUUAUAAAUUUUCUAUCACUUCACAGUUUUAGUCAAUUAUUAUGCUAACAUUAUAAAAUAUUGUGUUAAAAACAUAAGGCUGUAGAGAAUGACCAAAUUGAUUUGCGAUAACCAAUUUCAGGGACGACAUUGAUUGAUUUUAAAACUAAAGAAUCAAAAAGAGAAGUUAAGCCAAUUUUAAAGACAAUUCAUGAUAAAAAAAAUAUAUAUACAAAAAAAACCCCUUUAUUUGUAAGAGUAAACUGUCGAUUUGCCCCCUGAACUAUCACCCAACUUUCAAUUUCCCCCCUGAACUUUUUAAUUGGAAAAUUAAGGACUUAAACUAAUUUUUUUUGGCCAAUUUCCCCCCUACAGUUAGUUUUUCAUAGAUUUCAUCCAAAUUAACAUUAACUCUUAUCAUGUGCAAACCACGUAACUCUCAUUUGUGGACAAAAGUGUCAUUUCACUAGACCUUUAGAUACAAAAGCUAUAGAAUCACACAUAUUU